GCCUUUGACUACAACAGUAGCAGUAGUAAUAAUAGUAAUAAUAAGAUUAACAGUAGCAGUAGUAAUUACUGGUAUGAGAAUGGGUAUCUUGAAACAAAUACUUAUGCAAAUGCAACUAUUUUUCUAUGGGAAUGUAAUGUCAUGAGCAGCACCAAUCAUUUUAUAGAGAAUUGCUGCAAAUAAAAUCUGGUGCUAGUCCCUAUCCCCACC
rnacentral:lncRNA from 1 species